rnacentral:misc_RNA from 1 species
GAAAUGCGAUAAGUAAUGUGAAUUGCAGAAUUCAGUGAAUCAUCGAAUCUUUGAACGCACAUUGCGCCCCUUGGUAUUCCGAGGGGCAUGCCUGUCCGAGCGUCAUUUCAACCAUCAAGCAUCGCUUGGUAUUGGGCUCUCGCCUGUCCGGCGAGCCCGGAAACCAGUGGCGGUCCCUCGCGGACUCAAGCGUCGUAAACUAAUCACGCUUUGGAGCACGGGAGAUGUGACCCGCCAGACCACCCCAAUUCUAUCACGGUUGACCUCGGAUCAGGUAGGGAUACCCGCUGAACUUAA